CCCCUCCGCCGCCGUCUACAUCGCUUCUACAACCAGCACCACCACCAACAUCAUUUCAGGUGAGAUCGAAGAAAUUUUAGAUUGAGAGAGAUCUACAUGUGAAAAUCAAACAAACCCACCACCGCCAUCUUCAUCGUCGCCACCACCCCUACAACUAUCAUCUCUAUCGCCGCCACCACCACAACACUAUCUUCUCACUGAAAACAAAAGGUUUCAAUCACGUAUUUAUGUUUCAGAUCUAAAAAUCUCUCGUUAUCAUCUUCUUCUCCGGCAGAAAACUCUCUCUUCUUCGAUUAAGAUGAAUAUUUUAGAUUUGGGAGUUUGAAAGAGAGAUUUAGGUUUCAAUUAUACAUUCAAUUUAUCUGAAUUAGUCUAUGGUGAUGGUGGUGGUUAAAUUGAUGAAUUUAGGUUUACGGGUUUGUAGCUACUGAUGUUGGUACGUUUUUCAGUACAUUACUUUUUAACAUUUUAAGGGGGUAUAUCAAGAUGUAGAAAGAGGUGGUGGAUGGUGUAAUGGAUGAUGGUGGAUGGUGGUGGUAGUGUUUUUGUAAUGAUUUUUUUAUUAUUUUCUCUGGUCAUGUGAAUCAUUCACACAAGUUAGAUGGGGGAGAUUAGUCCAAGGAUGAUGAGAAUGCAAGAAUUUUGGUUGACACGAGUUUUGUGGAUGAUUGAAAUCUUAAUUAUUGGUUAAUUUUGGUGUUGAAACUCAAGAAUUAGAAGAUGCAGUUCGUCAAGAGUUUGGUGAUAAUGAUGGAGAGGGAACAGAUAUGAAUAUAAUAAUGAAGAAUGGAGGUGACAAUGAUGAUGAAUGUGAAGCAGGUAGCAGCAAUACUCCAAUGAUUUUUAGGAAGAGAAAGGACAUUAUUUUGGAUUCUUACACAACUGCUGACAAAUGUACUUCAGGUUUGUAUGAAUUCAAUUUUUGCUAUGAGUUAUCAUUCUGCCAAAACAUAUAAUAGUAUUUACAUUUCGAGAUCA